ensembl:lncRNA
GGAGGUCUAGUGCUGCCCGAUGACACGGCAGACGAGGUGCGUAUCCCUCCCGCCCGGGACCGGCUCGGCGCUCCCCUCGGUGUCCUGCUGACGAGCUGCCAGCGGGAGGUCUCUUUCUCCAUUCUACAGCUGAUCAGAACAUCACAGUGAUGUUCUCUUCUGGGUCUGGAGUGGAAAUAAGGGGAAGUGGAGGAUUUCUGACCCUGACAGUUCUGCUCCCAGAGAAGUUUAUGAAUCACACAGAGGGUCUCUUUGUGGUAAUGAAUGGCAACACAGACGACGAGGAUACCAAAAAACAUUAGGCCUUCUUAUUAUGGAAUCAUUGUCUGCCUAUCGUUUUCAGGAGACUAGCUGCAAAACUAGCUUGCAAAAUCAAGAAAUACAAGCUGCGAUUUUAAAUUGAAUACAAGGAUUUCACAAUAGAGACAAAUCACCAUUGGACCAAACUAUGAAGCCAGUGGUGGGUUCUCAUCACUCAGCAGAGAUGGAGUACCUGCAUGUAAGGUGUGUGUAAGCCAAACAUAAGAUUUUGAGCCUUGUACAGAAGUUACUGGAUGAAGGACCAAAGCCUGUGAAACAGUUCAUGUAUCCCGCUUCUUUCCUUAAACUAGGGUAUAAAUCAAAUUAGAAACCAAAUUUUCUAUUCUAGGAUCACAGAAGUGUCUGUCACAUCACUCUGCCAUCACUGUGUGCCAGGCUGUACUUUGGGCAGUUCUUCCUGCAGGCAUGACAAAGCAAUGCAAGGAAGGGCUGGCAAAAACGCAGCCCAGAUGCAUUAAAGCUCAGAUGCACCACUGUUGGCCUAUCUCUGAUUAGGCUGCAUGCUCCCUGAUACAUACCGAUACUGCUAUCACUAGGUACAGAAAAAGGGCAGAGCCUUGAAUCUACUUUGACCGUAGGAUACUACAGUGUCUCAGAGCCAUGGAAUUACACUUCUGUCUGACUCUGUGACACUGAGCCGGGGACAAAGAUUGCUGACACAAGGACUUAAAAUUUUUCAAUGGUGCUACUCCAGCAGGUAUUUCCUUAAAGGAUACAAAAUUCAGGAAGCAUUGUUUCUCCCAGAAAGUUCACUCGAGACGCUGCAUCUCCUAAACUUUUACCAAUCCUCUCAUGUGUCAUGAAAAAUUUACUUGCCUACCUUUACCCUCCGUUGUUCACCACAGCCAUACAGCAUCUUGCUAGCACCAUCCUACAUCAGUAAGACAGUGACAGAACCGGUAUUAUGCAUGUAUUUAGUAGAAUAAGAAAACAAGAGGAGAUCUAUUAUUCAAAAUUUGCUUCCUAUCUGGCUUCUUUCUGUCUUUCAUGUGUCCUCAUUAUGCAGUCACAGAAAGAAAAUGACACUUUUAGCAUGUUCAUCCUGUACUCACGUCAGAACAGUCACUUCUGGCUCUCUUUUACAUAGACCAUUAAGCAGCAGAGGCAGUUUCAAAAUUAUAAUUCCAAAAUAGGGGCAAUUUUUAAAGCAAUCAAACUGUAUGGAGAAAGGAUCAAAAAAGAUCUCCUCUCACUCAUCUCUUCUGCAGGCUAAACAGGUCCAACUGUCUCAGCCUUUCCUCAUAAGAGAAAAGCUGCAGUCCCCUAAUCAUCAUCAUAACCCUUCACUGGACCCUCUCCAGUAGUUUCUUGUCUUUCUUGAUCUGGGGAGUCCAGAACUGGACAGAGUGCUCCAGAUGGAGCCUCACCAGCACAGAGUAGAGAGGGAGGAUCACCGCCCUUGACCUGCUGGCCACACUCUUCCUGAUGCACCGUAGGAUACCAUUUGCCUUCCUGGCCACAAGGGCACACUACUGCUGGCUCACGGGUUAACUUGCUGUCCACCAGGACUCCCAGGUCCUUCUCCGCAGAGCUGCUUUCCAGCAGGUCAGCCCCUAACUUGUGCUGCUGCAUGGGGUUGUUCCUCCUCAAGUGCAGGACCUUGCACUUACCUUUGUUGAAUUUCACUGGGCUCCUCUCCACCAAACUCUCCAGCCUGUCCAGGCCUCACCAAAUGGCAGCACAGCCUCUGGUCUAUCAGCUACUCCUCCCAGCUUUGUAUCACCAGCAAACUUGCUGUGGGUACGCUCUGGCUCUUCACCUGGGUUAUUGAUCAAUAAGUUGAAUAAGACUGCACCCACUACUGACCUCUGGGGAACACCACUAGCUGCAGGCCCACAUUCGUGGCGUGGACUACAAAUUAACCGCUAGCCAUCCUUCCUUUGUGUUCGAACAGCUUCUGCAGCCACUUGCUGUAACUGUCAAAUGUAGGAAUUACGUAUUUCUACUCUACCAGUUUGUUCCACAAAUACAAAGAACAGUAAAAUUAACAGCAUAUGUACAAUUUAAAAAAUUGUCACGUGACUACAUUCAAAGAGAUAUGAAGAAAUGUAUCGAUGUGUUCCUGAUGUGGGGUUUCUGGUGCUUAGAUUUGUACCUUUUUUUUUUUUUUUUCUUUUUUUGCUGUUUUUCAGAGAUCAGAUAAAGUAAUGCUGCUUGGCUGUGUAUGUGGAAGAGUUAGUCUUGCAGUUCUGACACGCCUGACUUUCUUAUGUAGGAAGGAAAGGUAGGCCUCAAUUGAGCUGAAAACACAGAUGAACCUGCUAGAGAAACAGCACGUGUUAUGACCUUUUUAAUAGUUUUUCUCAAUGACAAAGAAAUCUAACAUGGUAUUUUCCUGCUACUAUCUGUUAUGAAAAAACAUCAAUUCUGGAUAAUUCCUGUGUCCUGCUGGAAGACUAUGAAGCAAAGUUGGAACUGUAUUAUCAGGACAUGCAAACAUGAGAUUCAUUGAUUGACUGAUAAAAAACAUGACUUUUUGGUCAAAAUAAUUUAUUUGCUGAGUGAUAAGGCUCGGCAUUAAAAGUGUUCCGUUUCAGAACAGGUGUGCUUAUAAUACCAAUAGGUAAAUUUGAUGCAUCAUCCAAGGAAUGCAUUGCACGAUAAUGUAACUUUCCACAUAUCUUUGAACAUAUUCCCACUUUAAUGCAUGCAUGAAUUUGCCUAGAAAAUACUUAUAUGUCUCUUGUGCCAAACAGGCGAAUAGAAUUUAAAACUAUAUCAGUUUGCUGCCCAUUCAUGGAGCCUUUCUACCACACAGAAAUAAACUUGCUACAAAAACUAUUAAAAUUUUAAAAGAAAUCUCUACAAAACGUUACGUGGCUAAUAAAUUACUUCCCAGAGGUUUUACUACUUUGUUUUAAAAAGUUGUUAUGUUUUCAUAAAUUAUGUAUAUAGUUCAGUCUGUUAGCCAGUGCUGUUUUUGGCCCUGUGCCUUUCUAACAGGUUUAUCAUUUCAGAGACUCUUAAACCAGAACCCAGUAUGAGAGCUAUGCCCAUCACUGAAAAUACAGCCCAUUGAUUGAGUUCAGCCAUCACCUGUGUCUGUCAGAGGGCCAGAGACUGCUAAAUUUUGCUCCUUCCCUUUAAAUCACAUAAACAUUGUUUCCUACACUUCACAGAGAACGUUCAUACCCCAAACACUUUUUCUUCGUCCCCUGUACAAAAAAUGGACACUCCACACACUGUAGAUAACUGCAGCAAUUAAUGGUUUUUGCAUAUAUAAAAGUGCACAGAUAAAGGACACCUCCUGUAUUUGCCAGAUUUCACAUACACCAGAUUCCCACAUAAAAACCCAACUUGUUAAAGCACUACCAUUACAGCUGCAUAGACAUCUCCCAUUUGGGAGCAGCUUACAGACCUGCUGCCCUAAACUCAGAAUUGUACAUUAAAAAAUAAUUUAAAAAAAUAGAAUAAAGCCAUCAACCUUUCUAAACUCUUGUAUAUUUUGCAAAUCUGUAGGUAUUUUUCAUAUGCUACAAAAAGCUUAUAAUUUAUGAAAAAAAAAAAAA